AGGGGCUAGGUUAGAGGGUAACUGGGGGGUUUUUCGACCCUCCGAUCGCGAUCGUACGGUCCGAUCGGAGAGGUGGGCUAGCGUUUUCUGUGAAGAGUGGCAUUGGCUAAGAUGAGAGGGAAGUGGUGCGGCGCGGCAACGAAUUUUAAAACACCGACAGACGUUCGACGGUAGACCGAAUACGGUGCCGCUACGGUCGACCGUUCGGGUACCAGACGGACUCCGAUCGCGAUGAAAUUCGACAAGCGGCCUAGCUAUAUUAAAAUAACACCG
rnacentral:lncRNA from 1 species